UAGGGAAUCUUCCACAAUGGACGAAAGUCUGAUGGAGCAAUGCCGCGUGAGUGAAGAAGGUUUUCGGAUCGUAAAACUCUGUUGUGAGGGAAGAACAAGUACGAGAGUAACUGCUCGUACCUUGACGGUACCUCAUUAGAAAGCCACGGCUAACUACGUGCCAGCAGCCGCGGUAAUACGUAGGUGGCAAGCGUUGUCCGGAAUUAUUGGGCGUAAAGCGCGCGCAGGCGGUCCCUUAAGUCUGAUGUGAAAUCCCACGGCUCAACCGUGGAAGGUCAUUGGAAACUGGGGGACUUGAGUACAGAAGAGGAAAGCGGAAUUCCAAGUGUAGCGGUGAAAUGCGUAGAGAUUUGGAGGAACACCAGUGGCGAAGGCGGCUUUCUGGUCUGUAACUGACGCUGAGGCGCGAAAGCGUGGGGAGCAAACAGGAUUAGAUACCCUGGUAGUCCACGCCGUAAACGAUGAGUGCUAAGUGUUAGGGGGUUUCCGCCCCUUAGUGCUGCAG
rnacentral:rRNA from 1 species